rnacentral:rRNA from 1 species
ACGGCUCAGUAACACGUGGUCAACAUACCCAGAGGACGUGGAUAACCUCGGGAAACUGAGGAUAAACCGCGAUAGACCAUAAUGUCUGGAAUGAUUUAUGGUUCAAAUCUAUAUGGCCUCUGGAUUGGACUGCGGCCGAUCAGGCUGUUGGUGAGGUAAUGGCCCACCAAACCUGAAACCGGUACGGGCUCUGAGAGGAGAAGCCCGGAGAUGGGCACUGAGACAAGGGCCCAGGCCCUAUGGGGCGCAGCAGGCGCGAAACCUUUGCAAUAGGCGAAAGCCUGACAAGGUUACUCUGAGUGAUAUCCGCUAAGGAAAUCUUUUGACACCUCUAAAAAUGGUGUAGAAUAAGGGGUGGGCAAGCCUGGCGUCAGCCGCCGCGGUAAUACCAGCACCCCGAGUGGUCGGGACGAUUAUUGGGCCUAAAGCAUCCGUAGCCGGUUCUUUAAGUCCUCCGUUAAAUCCACCUGCUUAACAGAUGGGCUGCGGAGGAUACUAUAGAGCUAGGAGGCGGGAGAGGCAAGCGGUACUCAGUGGGUAGGGGUAAAAUCCGUUGAUCCAUUGAAGACCACCAGUGGCGAAGGCGGCUUGCCAGAACGCGCUCGACGGUGAGGGAUGAAAGCUGGGGGAGCAAACCGGAUUAGAUACCCGGGUAGUCCCAGCUGUAAACGAUGCAGACUCGGUGAUGAACAGGCUUCGUGCCUGUUCAGUGCCGCAGGGAAGCCGUUAAGUCUGCCGCCUGGGGAGUACGGUCGCAAGACUGAAACUUAAAGAAAUUGGCGGGGGAGCAC